UCCACCCUGCUCUGUCUUGGAAGAGUUAAAUGCAUCAUGUGAUCUGAUCUGGCACAAUUGUGUGGUCAUCCAGAGAAACAAACCAGAAUGCUGAGGUGUUUAUGAUGAUCACUGUAUCUGAAGACACUUGUCUCGCGCAGCCUCUCUUCACUUGCCCAGGCCAUACAUCAGUCACCCAGCUACAGAUGAUAAAAGCGAGCUGAAGAGAGAUGAACCGCGAGGAGGGCCGAAGCAGGUGUCUGUGAGGAGCAGUGUCGAGAGGACCAGGACUGCGCGGCAGGAGAGAAGUGCGUCGGCAAUGGCUGUGGCCGCAUGUGCUCACCAGCCCCGCAAGCAAGUGAGGCUGAGCGCCCUGCUCAAUGUCCUCAUCCCAGCAGGCAUAUAUGCUUUGUUCUGCCCACCUUUUCAACAAUUGUUCAAUAGCAAUUAACUCUUGAGUAUGGUUUUGAACAGUUUCAUCAUUAAAUAUUUUUAAAAAGGAGAUCUUUUGGACUCUUCCAUCACAAUCUCAUUGCAUUCCGAAACAUUCCUAGAAGUGAUAUUGCUGACUCAAAGGGCAUGUAUGUUCACUUGAUUUCUUUUAAAUUCAAAUAUACUUGGCUAAUUUUCUUUUCUAAGGAUGUAUUGUUUAGGUCAAAAAGUUUCAUGAACUUUAAAA